rnacentral:rRNA from 1 species
GACGAACGCUGGCGGCGUGCUUAACACAUGCAAGUCGAACGGAAGGGCCCUGCUUUUGUGGGGUGCUCGAGUGGCGAACGGGUGAGUAACACGUGAGUAACCUGCCCUUGACUUUGGGAUAACUUCAGGAAACUGGGGCUAAUACCGGAUAGGAGCUCCUGCUGCAUGGUGGGGGUUGGAAAGUUUCGGCGGUUGGGGAUGGACUCGCGGCUUAUCAGCUUGUUGGUGGGGUAGUGGCUUACCAAGGCUUUGACGGGUAGCCGGCCUGGGAGGGUGACCGGCCACAUUGGGACUGAGAUACGGCCCAGACUCCUACGGGAGGCAGCAGUGGGGAAUAUUGCACAAUGGGCGGAAGCCUGAUGCAGCAACGCCGCGUGCGGGAUGACGGCCUUCGGGUUGUAAACCGCUUUCGCCUGUGACGAAGCGUGAGUGACGGUAAUGGGUAAAGAAGCACCGGCUAACUACGUG